UACGUAGACCUCAAGCGUUAUCCGGAUUUAUUGGGCGUAAAGCGCGUGUAGGGGGUCUGGUGCGUCUUUGGUUAAAGCUCACUGCUCAACGGUGAAAAUGCCCGAGAUACGGCCAGACUAGAGGGGGUUAGAGGUGAGCGGAACGCACGGUGUAGGGGUGAAAGCCGUUGAUAUCGUGCGGAACACCAAAGGCGAAGGCAGCUCACUGGGACCUUCCUGACCCUGAGACGCGAAAGCGUGGGGAGCAAAAAGG
rnacentral:rRNA from 1 species